rnacentral:rRNA from 1 species
UUCGGGUUGUAAAGUUCUUUCGGUAGCGAGGAAGGCAUUUAGUUUAAUAAACUAAGUGAUUGACGUUAACUACAGAAGAAGCACCGGCUAACUCCGUGCCAGCAGCCGCGGUAAUACGGAGGGUGCGAGCGUUAAUCGGAAUAACUGGGCGUAAAGGGUACGCAGGCGGUGACUUAAGUGAGGUGUGAAAGCCCCGGGCUUAACCUGGGAAUUGCAUUUCAUACUGGGUCGCUAGAGUACUUUAGGGAGGGGUAGAAUUCCACGUGUAGCGGUGAAAUGCGUAGAGAUGUGGAGGAAUACCGAAGGCGAAGGCAGCCCCUUGGGAAUGUACUGACGCUCAUGUGCGAAAGCGUGGGGAGCAAACAGGAUUAGAUACCCUGGUAGUCCACGCUGUAAACGAUGUCGAUUUGGGGGUUGAACUUUAAGUUUGGCGCCCGUAGCUAACGUGAUAAAUCGACCGCCUGGGG